AGUGAACGCUGGCGGUAGGCCUAACACAUGCAAGUCGAACGGCCGCACAGGAGGUGCUGGCUCUUACGGGUGGAGAGUGGCGGACGGGGGCGGAAGACAUGGGAAAAUACAUUGUAGUGGGUGCUAACGCAGGAAAAGUUACGCUAAUACCGCAUACGACCUAAGGGGAACAGCCGGGGACCUUCGGACCUGGCGCGAAGGAAAGAGCCGACGUCGGAGUAGCUAGGUGGCGGGGUAAAGGCCAAGAAAGGCGACGAUCCGUAGCAGGUCUGAAAGGAUGAUCCGCCACACUGGAACAGAGACACGGUCCACACUCCUACGGUGGGCAGCAGUGCGGAAUACUGGACGAUGCGCGCAUGCCUGAUCCAGCCAUACCGCGUGGAUCAAGAAGGCCUUCGGGUUCUAAAGCCCUUUAGGUCGGAAAGAAAAACAGCUGUUUCAUCCCCCGCGGUUCUGACGGUACCCAGAGAAUAAGCACCGGCUAACUUCGUG
rnacentral:rRNA from 1 species